rnacentral:rRNA from 1 species
GAUGAACGCUGGCGGCGUGCCUAAUACAUGCAAGUCGAGCGAACGGACGAGAAGCUUGCUUCUCUGAUGUUAGCGGCGGACGGGUGAGUAACACGUGGAUAACCUACCUAUAAGACUGGGAUAACUUCGGGAAACCGGAGCUAAUACCGGAUAAUAUUUUGAACCGCAUGGUUCAAAAGUGAAAGACGGUCUUGCUGUCACUUAUAGAUGGAUCCGCGCUGCAUUAGCUAGUUGGUAAGGUAACGGCUUACCAAGGCAACGAUGCAUAGCCGACCUGGGAGGGUGAUCGGACACACUGGAACUGAGACACGGUCCAGACUCCUACGGGAGGCAGCAGUAGGGAAUCUUCCGCAAUGGGCGAAAGCCUGACGGAGCAACGCCGCGUGAGUGAUGAAGGUCUUCGGACCGUAAAACUCUGUUAUUAGGGAAGAACAUAUGUGUAAGUAACUGUGCACAUCUUGACGGUACCUAAUCAGAAAGCCACGGCUAACUACGUG